AGUCUUAUAGUUAAUUUAAUAUUAGAUUGCAAAUCUAAAGAUGAAAAUAGUUUUUCUAAGGCUU
rnacentral:tRNA from 1 species